rnacentral:rRNA from 1 species
GGGCCUACGGGAGGCAGCAGUGAGGAAUAUUGGUCAAUGGGCGGAAGCCUGAACCAGCCAAGUCGCGUGAGGGAAGAAGGCCCUGCGGGUCGCAGACCUCUUUGGACGGGGAGCAAGGCCGCCGACGUGUCGGCGGAAGGAGAGUACCCGUAGAACAAGCAUCGGCUAACUCCGUGCCAGCAGCCGCGGUAAUACGGAGGAUGCGAGCGUUAUCCGGAUUUACUGGGUGUAAAGGGCGUGUAGGCGGGGGUGCAAGUCCGAU